rnacentral:rRNA from 1 species
GACGAACGCUGGUGGCGUGCUUAACACAUGCAAGUCGAACGAUGGAGCCGGAGCUUGCUCUGGUGAAUUAGUGGCGAACGGGUGAGUAACACGUGAGUAACCUGCCCUUGACUCUGGGAUAACUGCUAGAAAUGGUAGCUAAUACCGGAUACGACCCUCGGAGGCAUCUUCAGGGGGUGGAAAGAAUUUCGGUCAAGGAUGGACUCGCGGCCUAUCAGCUAGUUGGUGAGGUAAUGGCUCACCAAGGCGACGACGGGUAGCCGGCCUGAGAGGGUGACCGGCCACACUGGGACUGAGACACGGCCCAGACUCCUACGGGAGGCAGCAGUGGGGAAUAUUGCACAAUGGGCGCAAGCCUGAUGCAGCAACGCCGCGUGAGGGAUGACGGCCUUCGGGUUGUAAACCUCUUUUAGUAGGGAAGAAGCGAAAGUGACGGUACCUGCAGAAAAAGCACCGGCUAACUACGUGCCAGCCGCCGCGGUAA